AGUUUUUACUUAAGGGUGCUUAACGAAAAUCUUGGUAAAAAAGUAAGGACGUCGCGCGACGAAACGUUGUUAAAGAGGCACAGGCCUGUGAUUUACAAUUUUCCUAUAUAGAAAACUCUACUUUAUGUUAUUAAAUAAAUAAUGUGAAUUGAAUCAUCUUAGUAACAUUAGUUGAAGAAUCAAACGAGAUGCCGUGAGUAAUGGCGAAUGAAAAUGGUUGAGGCUAUAAUUAUAAUAGUAUAAACUUUGAAUUUUUAAACUUAAAAAGGUACAAGUCCUGUAAAAGUUUUGUACUGAUAAUUUAUGAAGUAGUAUGAUUUUGUAUGAAUACAGAAGAACCACCUUCUAAGCCGAAAAUAUCUUUUUUAACCGAUAGUGAACGAGUACCGUGAGGGAAAGAUGAAAAAUUCCGUUUUAGGAUAAAAUUACUGUAACUUUAAGUAAUUUAAAAAAUUAAGCACUUAAACUACUUUUGGAAUUUUAAUUACUUUAGAGUAACAAAUUGCCUUUUGCAUAAUGAGUCAGUAAGUUAAUAUAAUAUAGCAAGCUUAAAUAAAACUAUGUAGGCGUAGUAAAAGUUAUGUUUAUUAAACCUGAAGCCAAGUGAUCUAACCGUGAGCAGGUUGAAAAUGCAGUAACAUGUUUUAGAAGACUGAACCCGUAUAUGUUGCAAAAUAUUGGGAUGACUUACGGUUAGGGGUGAAAGGCCAAUCAAACUUGGCGAUAGCCGGUUUUUCACGAAACGUAUUUAAGUACUACAUUAAUAAAGUAAAUUGUAGGUAUAGUACAAAGUAAAUAAAGGGUUUUUUAAACUACUGAGUUUAUUUUAACUUCAAAUUAUAAUUUAAUUCUAUUAACAGACAGUCUUUAAGCGAUAAGGUUUAAAGACAAAAGGGAAACAGCCCAGAUCAUGUGUUAAGGUCUCAAAAUUACGACUUAGUGGAGAAAAUUUUUUAUAAAUCAAUUAGAUAAAGAAUAGGCUUAGAAGCAGCCUUUUAUUGGAGAAAGCGUUUUAGCUCGCUAGUAAUUUAUAAAAAUUUAAAAUAAACGAGGCUCAAAGUCGUAUACCGAAACAAUGAAUCAGUCUAAAUUGAUGGUAGUGAAACGUUCUGUAACAAUUAUUUUUGUUAGGGUAACUUUACAAAAAUUUAUCAGAAGUGCUAAUGCUGACAUGAGUAACGUAAACUACGUAAAAAAUCGUAGUCACCUAUUACCCAAGGGUUUCAAUAUAAUUUUAAGUUUAUUGAGUUAGUCGGUCCUUAAGAGGAGAGUAAAUACUGUACUUGACAGGUAAUUUUACCAAGUUAUAUACAUUACUUAAUGUGUACAAAUUAUUUUUAAGUAAAAAAUUUUACUAGGUUUUAUUUUUUAUACACUAUAAUUUCAAGAAAAAUUUAUAGCUUUAUUUGACCGUACUUAAUCCGACACAGGUGGGUUUGUUGAAAAUACUAAGGUGAAUGAACAAACUAAAUUGAAGGAACUUGGCAAAUUAACUCCGUAAGUUCGCAAGAAGGAGUGUCUUAAAGUUCAUUAUGGAUGUCACAAAAUAGAAAGCAACGACUGUUUAUCAAAAUCACAAGACUCUGCUAAUUAGUUUUAUAAGAUGUAUAGAGUUUGACACCUGCCCAGUGCUUAAAGGUCAUCAUUUAUAAGUUGACGCUUAUAUUUUAAUUCUAAGCAAACGGCGGUUCUAACUAUAAGAAUCCUUAGGUAGCGAAAUUCCUUGACGGGUAAAUUCCGUCCUGCAUGAAUGGUGUCACGAUUGCUUUACUGUCUCCAAUUUAAAUUCAGUGAAAUUACAUAACCUAUGAAAAUGUAGGUAUCCUGCAGUAAGACGGAAAGACCCUAGAUCCUUUACUUUAGUUUUGUAUUGAAAAAGUUAAUAUUUUAUGUAGAAUAAAUGGGAGUUUUAAAAAACUAGUAUGAAAUACCAUUUAAAAAUACCUAGCUUUUCUAAUUUAUGUUUUAUAAAAACAGUACAAGAUGGGAAGUUUACUUGGGACGAGUACCUCCUAAAAUGUAACGGAGGUGUACAAAGAUAAGUUUUAAUUAAUAUUUUAAUAAUUAAUUAAGCGCGUAAUGGCACUAAAUUUGUUUGACAGCAAGAUUGAUAAAUCGCGCUGAGACGCAAGUCGGUCAUAGUGAUCCGGUACAAGUAAGUGGAAAUAGUACCGCUCAACAAAUAAAAGGAACUCUAGGGAUAACAGAUUCAUCAUGGUUGAGAGUUCUUAUUGAUGCCAUGGUUUGAUACCUCGAUGUCGACUCAUCUUAUCCUGGAUUUGAAGUAGAUUCCAAGGGUCUAGUUGUUCGCUAGUGAAGAAGGUACGUGAGUUGGGUUCAGAACGUCGUGAGACAGUUCGGUCCCUAUCUGCUGCGGGUGUUUGAAAAGAAUAAGAAUUAUUCUUAGUACGAGAGGACCAGAAUACGUUAACCAAUAGUGUAUUGAUUGUUGAUACCAUCAGCACGUCAAGUAGCCACGUUGAUAUUGUUUAUGUACUGAAAGAAUCAAUAAGUACGAAAGCUUUCUUUCUUCUUUUCAUGAAUAAUCUAAAAGAAUAUUAGAUAGAUCGGUUUAUUAUAAAUGUUUAGUAAUAAAUUUUUUAUAUUUAAAUACGAACUUCAUUCAUUAAAUUA
rnacentral:rRNA from 1 species